rnacentral:rRNA from 1 species
UACGUAGGGACCGAGCGUUGUCCGGAAUCAUUGGGCGUAAAGAGCGUGUAGGCGGCCUUUUAAGUCCUGCGUGAAAUCCUGCGGCUCAACCGCAGACGGUCGUGGGAAACUGGAAGGCUAGAGUGCGGGAGAGGAGAGUGGAAUUCCCGGUGUAGCGGUGAAAUGCGCAGAUAUCGGGAAGAACACCCGUGGCGAAGGCGGCUCUCUGGGACGGUACUGACGCUGAGACGCGAAAGCGUGGGGAGCAAACAGG